rnacentral:rRNA from 2 species
ACUUACAGAUGGACCCGCGGCGCAUUAGCUAGUUGGUGGGGUAAUGGCUCACCAAGGCGACGAUGCGUAGCCGACCUGAGAGGGUGAUCGGCCACACUGGGACUGAGACACGGCCCAGACUCCUACGGGAGGCAGCAGUAGGGAAUCUUCCGCAAUGGACGAAAGUCUGACGGAGCAACGCCGCGUGAGUGAUGAAGGUUUUCGGAUCGUAAAGCUCUGUUGUUAGGGAAGAACAAGUGCUAUUGACGGUACCUAACCAGAAAGCCACGGCUAACUACGUGCCAGCAGCCGCGGUAAUACGUAGGUGGCAAGCGUUGUCCGGAAUUAUUGGGCGUAAAGGGCUCGCAGGCGGUUUCUUAAGUCUGAUGUGAAAGCCCCCGGCUCAACCGGGGAGGGUCAUUGGAAACUGGGAAACUUGAGUGCAGAAGAGGAGAGUGGAAUUCAUGUAGCGGUGAAAUGCGUAGAGAU